rnacentral:rRNA from 1 species
CCUACGGGAGGCAGCAGUAAGGAAUAUUGGUCAAUGGGCGCAAGCCUGAACCAGCCAUGCCGCGUGCAGGAAGACGGCCCUACGGGUUGUAAACUGCUUUUGUACCGGAAUAAACCUUUUCACGUGUGAGAAGCUGAAUGUACGGUAAGAAUAAGGAUCGGCUAACUCCGUGCCAGCAGCCGCGGUAAUACGGAGGAUCCAAGCGUUAUCCGGAUUUAUUGGGUUUAAAGGGUGCGUAGGCGGUUCUUUAAGUCAGGGGUGAAAGACGGUAGCUUAACUAUCGCAGUGCCUUUGAUACUGAAGAACUUGAAUACACUUGAGGUAGGCGGAAUGUGACAAGUAGCGGUGAAAUGCAUAGAUAUGUCACAGAACACCAAUUGCGAAGGCAGCUUACUAAAGUGUCAUUGACGCUGAGGCACGAAAGCGUGGGGAUCAAACAGGAUUAGAUACCCUGGUAG